rnacentral:rRNA from 1 species
AUUGAACGCUGGCGGCAGGCCUAACACAUGCAAGUCGAGCGAGCGGCGGACGGGUGAGUAAUGUCUGGGAAACUGCCUGAUGGAGGGGGAUAACUACUGGAAACGGUAGCUAAUACCGCAUACCAUCAGAUGUGCCCAGAUGGGAUUAGCUGGUAGGGGGGGUACCGGCUCACCUAGGCGACGAUCCCGAGCUGGUCUGCGAGGAUGACAGGCCACACUGGAACUGAGACACGGUCCAGACUCCUACGGGAGGCAGCAGUGGGGAAUAUUGCACAAUGGGCGCAAGCCUGAUGCAGCCAGGCCGCGUGUGUGAAGAAGGCCUGCGGGUUGUAAAGCACUUUCAGCGGGGAGGCGUUACCCGCAGAAGAAGCACCGGCUAACUCCGUGCCAGCAGCCGCGGUAAUUC